CGGGAGGCAGCAGUGGGGAAUUUUGGACAAUGGGCGAAAGCCUGAUCCAGCCAUGCCGCGUGAGUGAAGAAGGCCUUCGGGUUGUAAAGCUCUUUUAGUCGGAAAGAAAGAGUCGCAAUGAAUAAUUGUGAUUUAUGACGGUACCGACAGAAAAAGCACCGGCUAACUACGUGCCAGCAGCCGCGGUAAUACGUAGGGUGCGAGCGUUAAUCGGAAUUACUGGGCGUAAAGGGUGCGCAGGCGGUUUUGCAAGUCAGAUGUGAAAGCCCCGGGCUUAACCUGGGAAUUGCGUUUGAAACUACAAGGCUAGAGUGCAGCAGAGGGGAGUGGAAUUCCAUGUGUAGCAGUGAAAUGCGUAGAGAUGUGGAAGAACACCGAUGGCGAAGGCAGCUCCCUGGGUUGACACUGACGCUCAUGCACGAAAGCGUGGGGAGCAAACAGGAUUAGAUACCCUGGUAGUCCACGCCCUAAACGAUGUCAACUGGUUGUCGGAUCUAAUUAAGGAUUUGGUAACGUAGCUAACGCGUGAAGUUGACCGCCUGGGGAGUACGGUCGCAAGAUUAAAACUCAAAGGAAUUGACGG
rnacentral:rRNA from 1 species